GUGUCAGCAGCCGCGGUAAUACGGAGGUGGCAAGCGUUGUUCGGAAUUACUGGGCGUAAAGGGCGCGUAGGCGGCCAGACAAGUCAGAUGUGAAAGCCCCGGGCUCAACUCGGGAAUUGCAUCUGAAACUGUAUGGCUUGAGUUCUGGAGGGGGUAGUGGAAUUCCCAGUGUAGCGGUGAAAUGCGUAGAUAUUGGGAGGAACACCUGCGGCGAAGGCGGCUACCUGGACAGAGACUGACGCUGAGGCGCGAAAGCUAGGGGAGCAAACGGGAUUAGAUACCCUCGUAGUCC
rnacentral:rRNA from 1 species